rnacentral:rRNA from 1 species
GGAAUAUUGAGCAAUGGGCGGAAGCCUGACUCAGCAACGCCGCGUGGAUGAUGAAGGCCUUCGGGUUGUAAAAUCCUUUUCUGGGGGAAGAUAAUGACGGUACCCCAGGAAUAAGUUCCGGCUAACUACGUGCCAGCAGCCGCGGUAAAACGUAGGGGACAAGCGUUAUCCGGAUUUACUGGGCGUAAAGCGCAUGUAGGUGGCUUGGCAAGUUGGAUGUGAAAGCUCCUGGCUUAACUGGGAGAGGUCAUUCAAAACUGCUGAGCUUGAGGAUGGAAGAGGAGAGCGGAAUUCCCGGUGUAGUGGUGGAAUGCGUAGAUAUCGGGAGGAACACCAGUGGCGAAAGCGGCUCUCUGGUUCGUGCCUGACACUGAGAUGCGAAAGCGUGGGGAGCGAA